rnacentral:rRNA from 1 species
CCCUUAGAUGUUCUGGGCCGCACGCGCGCUACAAUGAUGAAUUCAACGAGUUUAUAACCUUGGUUGAAAAGCCUGGGUAAUCUUUUGAACUUUCGUCGUGAUGGGGCUAGACCCUUGCAAUUAUUGGUCUCCAACGAGGAAUGCCUAGUAGGCGCAAGUCAUCAGCUUGCGUCGAUUACGUCCCUGCCCUUUGUACACACCGCCCGUCGCUCCUACCGAUUGGGUGUGCUGGUGAAAUGUUCGGAUCGGCCGUUUGUCGCGGUUUCCGCGUCAUGUGGCUGAGAAGUUCAUUAAACCCUCCCACCUAGAGGAAGGAGAAGUCGUAACA